rnacentral:rRNA from 1 species
AUUGAACGCUGGCGGCAUGCCUUACACAUGCAAGUCGAACGGCAGCACGGGAGCAAUCCUGGUGGCGAGUGGCGAACGGGUGAGUAAUAUAUCGGAACGUGCCCAGUCUGGGGGAUAACGUAGCGAAAGCUACGCUAAUACCGCAUACGAUCUAUGGAUGAAAGCGGGGGAUCGCAAGACCUCGCGCGAUUGGAGCGGGCCGAUAUCAGAUUAGGUAGUUGGUGAGGUAAAGGCUCACCAAGCCGACGAUCUGUAGCUGGUCUGAGAGGACGACCAGCCA